AUUGAACGCUGGCGGAAUGCUUUACACAUGCAAGUCGAACGGCAGCACGGGAGCUUGCUCCUGGUGGCGAGUGGCGAACGGGUGAGUAAUGCAUCGGAACGUGCCCUGAAGUGGGGGAUAACGUAGCGAAAGUUACGCUAAUACCGCAUAUUCUGUGAGCAGGAAAGCAGGGGAUCUUCGGACCUUGCGCUUUUGGAGCGGCCGAUGUCGGAUUAGCUAGUUGGUGGGGUAAAGGCCCACCAAGGCGACGAUCCGUAGCGGGUCUGAGAGGAUGAUCCGCCACACUGGAACUGAGACACGGUCCAGACUCCUACGGGAGGCAGCAGUGGGGAAUUUUGGACAAUGGGCGCAAGCCUGAUCCAGCCAUGCCGCGUGAGUGAAGAAGGCCUCGGUUGUAAG
rnacentral:rRNA from 1 species